AAUGUAUCAAGAUAACUUGUCAAUGGAAGUGGAUGGACUUGAGGAGAUGACUCCGGACACUGAAUUAGGAUUGUCAACCAAUGAAGGUGGAGAAGAGCCAUCUUCGACCAUGGGUGCGAGUGCGACAAACAAGAAAACCUAUAUGCUCUCAAAGAAAAAAGCACACUAUGGCAACAAAUCGGAGCUUAACCAGUAUCUUCAAGAUAAAGAUGAAGAGACUCUUGAUCUUGAUCUUUUAAUGUGGUGGAAGAUUACCGGCUCAAAAUAUAAAAUUCUAUCUUUGAUAGCUCGAGAUGUUUUGUCUAUUCCCGUAACUACCGUUGCUUCCGAGUCGACUUUUAGUACAUCGGGUCGUAUGCUUGAUGGCUUUCGGAGUUCAUUGACUCCUAAAGUUGUGGAAGCUUUGCUUUGCACUCAAAAUUGGUUAAGAGCCGUUCGUAUGCCGAUUAACAUUGAAGAGUGCAUUGAGAAUGC